AUUGAACGCUGGCGGCAUGCUUUACACAUGCAAGUCGAACGGUAACAGGGUGCUUGCACCGCUGACGAGUGGCGAACGGGUGAGUAAUGCAUCGGAAUGUACCGUGUAAUGGUGGAUAGCUCGGCGAAAGCCGGAUUAAUACCGCAUACGCCCUGAGGGGGAAAGUGGGGGACCGAAAGGCCUCACGUUAUACGAGCAGCCGAUGUCUGAUUAGCUAGUUGGUUAGGUAAAGGCUCACCAGGGCGUCGAUCAGUAGCGGGUCUGAGAGGAUGACCCGCCACACUGGGACUGAGACACGGCCCAGACUCCUACGGGAGGCAGCAGUGGGGAAUUUUGGACAAUGGGCGCAAGCCUGAUCCAGCCAUGCCGCGUGUCUGAAGAAGGCCUUCGGGUUGUAAAGGACUUUUGUCCGGGAGCAAAUCCUAGUGGUUAAUAACCGCUGGGUCUGAGAGUACCGGAAGAAUAAGCACCGGCUAACUACGUG
rnacentral:rRNA from 1 species